rnacentral:lncRNA from 1 species
AUAUGCUGUUAAUGAGUUAAUAUGGUGCUUGCUUCUAGUUGGAAAUUUAUGUAGUCAUCUACCUAUGAUCAAAUAAAGAUGAAGAAUAAAAUAUAAUUGAGAGCAUCUUCCUCUCCCCUGCUUUGCUCAUCCCUUGUUCUUCCACUUCAGCCCCACUAUUACACCAUUUUUUCAGCCACAAUUAUAAUAGCUCCAUGAGCAUUAAGUCCUUUUCAAAUUCUGCUGACAUUCAAAAUUGGAAUUUGCUGGUGAUAUAUGAUAGCAUCUUUGUCCGACCAAAAAGAGAAAAAAAAAAAGUUGAUAGCAUAUUGUACCAUUUUGGCCAGUGUACGCAAUAUUAUUGCAUCCAACUUUGCAUAUUAACAUCAGUGGCCACAGUUCCAUGAUUUGAGUGCACAGAAAAGUUUCAAAAGUUGUCCCACAAAGAACAGUCGUUCAAAGUGAAAGAGAGAUUUCAAAGCUUAAUUACAAGUUCAUGUUAUUUACAAUAUCAAAAAGCUUUCAUACUUGCUUACAAACCUGUAUUUCCAAGUUCUGCAAACCUUGGAAUAUCACUUCAUCCAAAUCCCCUUCCAAAGCAGGAAAAAAUGGCAGCAGCUUUGAUUGGAGAGGCUCUCAUCUCUGCUUCUAUCGU